AUGUGCCACUCGUGCACUGCGGCUCCUACGCGCCGUUUGCACCCGCUGGUCACUGCGCGCUACGUUUUGUUUGCC
rnacentral:sRNA from 1 species